GACGAACGCUGGCGGCGUGCUUAACACAUGCAAGUCGAACGGAAAGGCCCUGCUUUUGUGGGGUGCUCGAGUGGCGAACGGGUGAGUAACACGUGAGUAACCUGCCCUUGACUUUGGGAUAACUUCAGGAAACUGGGGCUAAUACCGGAUAGGAGCUCCUGCUGCAUGGUGGGGGUUGGAAAGUUUCGGCGGUUGGGGAUGGACUCGCGGCUUAUCAGCUUGUUGGUGGGGUAGUGGCUUACCAAGGCUUUGACGGGUAGCCGGCCUGAGAGGGUGACCGGCCACAUUGGGACUGAGAUACGGCCCAGACUCCUACGGGAGGCAGCAGUGGGGAAUAUUGCACAAUGGGCGGAAGCCGGAUGCAGCAACGCCGCGUGCGGGAUGACGGCCUUCGGGUUGUAAACCGCUUUCGCCUGCGACGAAGCGUGAGUGACGGUAAUGGGUAAAGAAGCACCGGCUAACUACGU
rnacentral:rRNA from 1 species